GACGAACGCUGGCGGCGUGCCUAAUACAUGCAAGUAGAACGCAGUUGCGAACGGGUGAGUAACGCGUAGGUAACUGCCUCAUAGCGGGGGAUAACUAUUGGAAACGAUAGCUAAUACCGCUUACUGUGAGAUGGACCUGCGUUGUAUUUGCUAGUUGGUGAGGUAAAGGCUAACCAAGGCGACGAUACAUAGCCGACCGUAGAGGGGGAUCGGCCACGUGGGGACGGAGGAACGGCCCAGACUUCUACGGGAGGCAGCAGGAGGGAAUCUUCGGCAAUUGACGGAAGUCUGACCGAGCAAAGCCGCGUGAGUGAAGAAGGUUUUCGGAUCGUAAAGCUCUGUUGUUAGAGAAGCGGUACCUAACCAGAAAGGGACGGCUAACUACGUGCCAGCAGCCGCGGUAAUAC
rnacentral:rRNA from 1 species